GGGUCAGUAGGUUGGUCGUGCCACCGGUACGUACUGGUCUCACUGAUUCCUCCUUCCUGAAGAACCAUAAUGUCAUUAAUUUGGUGUUGCGGGGAAACAGGACUGUUACUUUGAAAAAAUUAGAGUGUUUAAAGCAAGCUAACGCUUGAAUACAUUAGCAUGGAAUAAUGAAAUAGGACGAUCGAUCCUAUUUUGUUGGUUUCUAGGAUUGACGUA
rnacentral:rRNA from 1 species